rnacentral:rRNA from 1 species
GGCCUAAUACAUGCAGUCGAACGGUAACAUUGGUGCUUGCACCAGAUGACGAGUGGCGCACGGGUGCGUAACGCGUAUGCAAUCUACCUUUUACUAGAGUAUAGCCCAGAGAAAUUUGGAUUAAUCCUCUAUAAUAUCUUUUAAUUUCAUGAUUUUAAGAUUAAAGUUUUAACGGUAAAAGAUGAGCAUGCGUCCUAUUAGUUUGUAGGUGAGGUAACGGCUCACCUAGACUACGAUAGGUAGGGGCCCUGAGAGGGGGAUCCCCCACACUGGUACUGAGACACGGACCAGACUCCUACGGGAGGCAGCAGUAAGGAAUAUUGGACAAUGGACGAAAGUCUGAUCCAGCCAUGCCGCGUGCAGGAUGAAAGCCCUACGGGUUGUAAACUGCUUUUAUACAGGAAGAAACACUCCGACGUGUCGGAGCUUGACGGUACUGUAAGAAUAAGGAUCGG